rnacentral:rRNA from 1 species
AUUGAACGCUGGCGGCAUGCCUUACACAUGCAAGUCGAACGGUAACAGGUCUUCGGAUGCUGACGAGUGGCGAACGGGUGAGUAAUGCAUCGGAACGUGCCCAGUAGUGGGGGAUAGCCCGGCGAAAGCCGGAUUAAUACCGCAUACGACCUGAGGGUGAAAGGGGGGGAUCGCAAGACCUCUCGCUAUUGGAGCGGCCGAUGUCAGAUUAGCUAGUUGGUGGGGUAAAGGCCUACCAAGGCAACGAUCUGUAGUUGGUCUGAGAGGACGACCAGCAACACUGGGACUGAGACACGGCCCAGCCUCCUACGGGAGGCAGCAGUUGGGAAUUUUGGACAAUGGGGGAAAGCCUGAUCCAGCCCUGCCGCGUGCGGGAAGAAGGCCUUCGGGUUGUAAACCGCUUUUGUCAGGGAAGAAAUCCUUUGAGCUAAUACCUCGGGGGGAUGACGGUACCUGAAGAAUAAGCACCGGCUAACUACGUGCCAGCAGCCGCCGUAAUAC